CUGGCGGCAUGCCUAACACAUGCAAGUCGAACGGCAGCACAGCAGUAGCAAUACUGUGGGUGGCGAGUGGCGGACGGGUGAGGAAUACGUCGGAAUCUGCCCAGUCGUGGGGGAUAACUAGCCGAAAGGUUAGCUAAUACCGCAUACGACCGAGAGGUGAAAGCGGGGGACCGCAAGGCCUCGCGCGAUUGGAUGAGCCGACGUCGGAUUAGCUAGUUGGCGGGGUAAAGGCCCACCAAGGCGACGAUCCGUAGCUGGUCUGAGAGGAUGAUCAGCCACACUGGAACUGAGACACGGUCCAGACUCCUACGGGAGGCAGCAGUGGGGAAUAUUGGACAAUGGGCGCAAGCCUGAUCCAGCAAUGCCGCGUGUGUGAAGAAGGCCUUCGGGUUGUAAAGCACUUUUAUCAGGAACGAAAAGCGUUGGAUUAAUACUCUGACGUGCUGACGGUACCUGAGGAAUAAGCACCGGCUAACUUCGUG
rnacentral:rRNA from 1 species